rnacentral:rRNA from 1 species
AUGCCUCCGCCACCCAUCACUGUUGCCGCCGGCGGUGGUCGGGGUGUGGACGAGUGCGACAUGUCCUCCGGCCGGUGGGUGUACGACGAGGAGGCGUACGCUCUGUACAAGGAGAGCGCUUGCCGGUUCAUGUCGGAGAACCUGGCGUGCGGGAGGUACGGCAGGACGGACCUCCGGUACCAGCACUGGCGGUGGCAGCCGCACGGUUGCGACCUUCCUAGGUACCGAAAAGUGAGGCUGCUGGAGAAGCUGCGCGGGAAGCAGCUGGCGUUCGUGGGCGACUCUCUGAACCGGGACCAGUGGGUGUCCAUGGUCUGCCUCAUCGACACCGCCACCCAGGGCCUCCACAAGACGCUCAUCUCCGCCGGAACCCUCGUCUCCUUCAACGUGCACGAGUACAACGCGUCGGUGGACUUCUACUGGUCGCCGCUGCUGGUGGAGUCCAACUCCGACCACCCGGUGCGCCAUCGCGUCAUAGACCGCACCGUCAACACCUCCUCCAUCCUCAACCACGCCCGGCACUGGACGUACGCCGACGUGCUCAUCUUCAACUCCUACCUCUGGUGGCGCCGCCCCUCCAUCGAAGUCCGGUGGGGGUCGUUCGAGGCACCUGCGGCGAAAGAGGACGAGUACUGCGGGGUGACCAAGGCGGUCGACGGCGUGCGCACUUUCGAGCUGGCGCUCGCGACGUGGGCCGACUGGCUCGAGUUCCACGUCGGCCGCGCACGCACCCGCCUCUUCUUCAUGACCAUGUCGCCGACUCACCUCCCCUCCGACGAGUGGGCCGACGACGCCGGCGGCGGCACCAGCCACGGGUGCUACAACGAGACGGAGCCGAUCGCUGCGGCGGAGGAGGGGGGCCGCUACCAGCGUGGCGUCACGGACCCGGCGUUCGCGCGUGCGGUAGAGGAGCAGGCGCGGCGUGGCGCGGUAGAGGAGCAGGCGCGGCGGCUGGUGAACGUGACGGCGAUGUCGGAGCGGCGCAAGGACGCGCACCCGUCGGUGCACCGGCGGCAGUGGGAGCCCAUCACGGACGCGCAGGCGAGGGACGCGAGCAGCUACGCGGACUGCAUCCACCGGUGCCUCCCCGGCGUGCCCGACGUCUGGAACCAACUCCUCUACGCGCACAUCGUCUCAUGA